rnacentral:rRNA from 1 species
GAUGAACGCUGGCGGCGUGCUUAACACAUGCAAGUCGAACGGAAAGGCCCAAGCUUGCUUGGGUACUCGAGUGGCGAACGGGUGAGUAACACGUGGGUGAUCUGCCCUGCACUUCGGGAUAAGCCUGGGAAACUGGGUCUAAUACCGGAUAGGACCACAUUUUGGAUGGUGUGGUGGAAAGUUUUUCGGUGUGGGAUGAGCUCGCGGCCUAUCAGCUUGUUGGUGGGGUAAUGGCCUACCAAGGCGUCGACGGGUAGCCGGCCUGAGAGGGUGUACGGCCACAUUGGGACUGAGAUACGGGCCAGACUCCUACGGGAGGCAGCAGUGGGGAAUAUUGCACAAUGGGCGCAAGCCUGAUGCAGCGACGCCGCGUGGGGGAUGACGGCCUUCGGGUUGUAAACUCCUUUCGCUAGGGACGAAGCGUUUUUGUGACGGUACCUGGAGAAGAAGCACCGGCUAACUACGUG